GUGAAUCAUCAAAUUUUUGAACGCAAAUUGCACUAUCCUCGGAGAGAAUGCCUGUUUGAGGGUGAGCCUAUAAAGAAUCGACAUCGUUGUGGUUUCGCGGUGACGUUUGUGGGAUAUUGGGUCAUCUUAAAUACUUUUGGUUUUAAGCGACUUAAAAUUUUCUUUUUGGUUACAUGAACGUUUCUAAGAUUUAUUUCUUUACACGUUAAAGGGUAUCGAUUUUUAUUAGACGUGACCAUCAUAUCGGAUCGCGUUCAUAGUCGUUCAUUAACUGACCUAU
rnacentral:misc_RNA from 1 species